GUAGGGAAUAUUGCGCAAUGGACGAAAGUCUGACGCAGCGACGCCGCGUGAGUGAUGAAGGCCUUAGGGUCGUAAAGCUCUGUUGAAUGGGAAGAAAAAAAUGACGGUACCAUUCGAGGAAGGACCGGCUAACUUCGUGCCAGCAGCCGCGGUAAUACGAGGGGUCCUAGCGUUGUUCGGAAUCAUUGGGCGUAAAGGGUGUGUAGGUGGCCAUGUAAGUCAGGUGUGAAAGCCCCGGGCUCAACCCGGGAAGUGCACUUGAUACUGCGUGGCUUGAGUACCGAAGAGGGUAGUGGAAUUCCAGGUGUAGUGGUGAAAUACGUAGAUAUCUGGAGGAACACCGGUGGCGAAGGCGGCUACCUGGUCGAGUACUGACACUGAGACACGAAAGCAUGGGGAUCAAACAGGAUUGGAAACCCUGGUAGUCC
rnacentral:rRNA from 1 species